UACGUAGGGUGCAAGCGUUAAUCGGAAUUACUGGGCGUAAAGCGUGCGCAGGCGGUUCUAUAAGACAGAUGUGAAAUCCCCGGGCUCAACCUGGGAACUGCAUUUGUGACUGUAGAGCUGGAGUACGGCAGAGGGGGAUGGAAUUCCGCGUGUAGCAGUGAAAUGCGUAGAUAUGCGGAGGAAUACCGAUGGCGAAGGCAAUCCCCUGGGCCUGUACUGACGCUCAUGCACGAAAGCGUGGGGAGCAAACAGG
rnacentral:rRNA from 1 species